rfam:Chryseobacterium gleum ATCC 35910 genomic scaffold SCAFFOLD3, whole genome shotgun sequence.
CCGGCGGAAUCCGAAAAGCCAUAAAAGAGUAGGAA